rnacentral:rRNA from 1 species
AACUUUGAGCAAUGGAUCACUUGGCUCGUGUGUCGAUGAAGAGUGCAGUGAAUUAAUGUGAACUGCAUACUUCUUUAAUCUUUUGAUAAAAGGUAUAAAUAAUUUCAUGAGUUUAA